rnacentral:piRNA from 1 species
UCAGAAAGACUGAGUUGAAGUCCCCAGG